rnacentral:lncRNA from 10 species
CCCUGGCGGCCCAGCUGUAAAAUUCCUCUCUUUGUAUUGUCUCUCUUUAUUUCUCAGCUGGCCGACACUUACGGAAAAUAGAAAGAACCUACAUUGAAAUGUUGGGGGCGAGUUCCCCCAGUAGGGGAAAUGAUGCUACUUGCUUAGAAGCUGGCCCUCUCGGCAUGCCAAAUUAUACUGCCUCCUUCUAACUGAUGUUACAGCCUGGAAUGUGGUUGUGGGGCCUUGUGGUGCAGCAGCCAUCUUGUGACUAUGAAUCCAACAGGCCUAGAAAUGAAAACCACUCACUGAGCAGGAUAGAGCAGAAAGACAGAAGAAGUCACGGUCUUUCAUGACAUUGCUGAGCACUGAAUCAGCCCUGAAUUGCCAACUUCCAAUGAUGUUCUGUAAAAUUAAAUAAAUCUCUAAUUGUUUGAGCUAC